UUUGUGAACUUAUACCUUACUGUUGCCUCGGCGCAUGCCGGCCCCCCUGGGGGCCCCUCCUUCUGGAGGAGCAGGCACGCCGGCGGCCAACCUAACUCUUGUUUUUACACUGAAACUCUGAGAAUAAAACAUAAAUGAAUCAAAACUUUCAACAACGGAUCUCUUGGUUCUGGCAUCGAUGAAGAACGCAGCGAAAUGCGAUAAGUAAUGUGAAUUGCAGAAUUCAGUGAAUCAUCGAAUCUUUGAACGCACAUUGCGCCCUCUGGUAUUCCGGAGGGCAUGCCUGUUCGAGCGUCAUUUCAACCCUCAAGCCUGGCUUGGUGAUGGGGCACUGCUUUUACCCAAAAGCAGGCCCUGAAAUUCAGUGGCGAGCUCGCCAGGACCCCGAGCGCAGUAGUUAAACCCUCGCUUUGGAAGGCCCUGGCGGUGCCCUGCCGUUAAACCCCCAACUUCUGAAAAUUUGACCUCGGAUCAGGUAGGAAUACCCGCUGAACUUAAGCAUAUCAAUAAGCGGAGGAA
rnacentral:rRNA from 1 species